UUUUAUAUUUAACUAGGUUACGUUUUUUAUUAAAAGAAUUUCAAAGGAAAGCAAAAGGGAAAAUAUUUGUAUUAUAAUAUAAGAAAACAUGUCUGUAAUUUGUAUAAUAUGCCAUCAAAAAUUUGAAGAGAUAAUAACGAAUUCCUUUUUUAAUCCAGUCUACGAAGGGCUUAGUAUAUCUAGUAUAUUAAACUCUGUAUCAACACUACAGAUAGAAGAGAAUAACAAAGAGUCAAGCAAUAUUUGCCAAGAAUGUACAAGCGUAAUUAUAAGUUUCUACAAAUUAAUUAAGUCAUAUAAAAGUAGAGAAGCUGCGUUAAAUGAAGCAUCCAAACAAGAACAUUACUUUUUAGAGGAUCAAGACUAUGAUAAUUAUGUUGAAUGUGAAACAGAAUCUUACAAAGAAAACAGUGAUCACGAUGACAAUCAAAAAACAACACACACGGAAGAUUGGGCGGAAGAUCAAAUUCAGCAAGACCUAGAAUCAAAAUAUCCAAAGAUUAAAGAAGGUUCUCCUGAACCUGAAGAAAAUGUUAAACCAAAAUAUGAUGAAUUUGGCAAUCAGGAAAUAUCUUCUGUAAAAUACACUUGCAAUGAAUGUGGAGAUUCAUUUUUAUAUAAAGUAGGAUUUAGCUCACAUAUGGUUCAAAAACACAGUAUAUACAUCGAAAAUCACAUGUAUCCUCAAUACAGUACACAAAUAACAGUUAAAAUACCUGCUCCUAAGGGCAUUACUUUUGCAAGGAAGUACCAUAAUAAAAAGAAUAUUAGACUACUGACUGAAACGUUUCAAUGCCAAAUAUGUAAAGAGCAUUCGAAGUCAGCUGAUGAAUUAAAAGAACAUUAUAACACGCACAAGACUCAUAUUUGCGAACACUGCGGAGCAGCGUUCUUAAAACAUUCUUACCUAAGGGAACACCUUGUAGCUCAUACCACAGAAAGACGAUAUCCAUGCGAUAUCUGUGGGAAGAAAUUUAAGUAUAGAAACGGAUUAUCUGUUCACAGAAAUAUUCACGUAAACUUCAGGGGUUUUAUGUGUGAAACUUGUGGAAAAGGCUUUAAUGCUAGAAGUACUCUCAAAACACAUAUGAAGUUAAAGCAUACAAACGAAAGAAACUAUCCAUGUCCACAAUGUGAUUUAUCCUUUAAAGUCAAGUCUUGGUUGGAUAAACAUUAUUCAAGGAAACAUACUUUAAAUAGAACUAAAGAUUUCAUAUGUAACGUAUGUGGUAUGGCAUACUUAAAUAAAACAACUUUGACAAGACAUAUGUCAGAAAAGCAUACUGGUACACCUGUAAGACAUUAUUGUACAAUUUGUGAGAAAAGUUAUAGUAUGAAAAACAAAUUAAGUUUACACCAACAGAAAAAACACGGAAUUAUUUUAAAUACCCCAUCCCAAGUUUUAUUAUAACAUAUUUAAUUAGUAAGUUUUAUCUGGACUUAUAAUGUGGCUAAAAUAAAUUGAACCGUGAGAUGUGUAAUAACUUUUAGAGAGUGAAUGCAUAAUGUGCUUCAUUGAUCAAUGUUGCAGCAACUUAAUAAAAAAGUUUAAACUUUGAUAUAAACAUCCAGCCAAAUUUAAAGGAAAGCAGGUAUGUAGUUAAAACCAGGGAUCAUCCAAUUUAUCAUCAAAUUAACAAAAAAUGUGUAUUUACAAUUAACUGUGACUUAAACAACAAAUUAAAAUUUUCUGAAAAACAAGUGAAGAUAGCAGUCAAUUUGAGUCAAUUUUUGACUUUGCGUCAAUUAUUGUAGUACAGUGGAACCCCGAUAAGUCGGCCCCCGAUAACCCGGAAGUCCGGCUAACCCGGACCGAUUUUCAUCAGACAAAAAUUUAACAAAUAAACAAUUUAACAAUUUUAUCAAAUAAAAAUGUAUGUAGGUCAAAUAAUAUUUGAGAGAUAAUGUGUAUUUGUGUAAUUUGAACACAUAUAAGUAUGUACAACAGUAAAAAUGAUUCAUGCACACGGCGGCAGGCAGAGCGACCGUCUCAGCUUAUCGGAAAGAACAGGCACCUGUCUGUAUUCCUUUUCCGUUAUUUAUGUCAAACUGUCUUAGCAUUGUUUAAAAUAGACGUGACUAUUUAAAAAUUCUUUUUUAAAACAAUGGCCUUAGUCUGUUCUUAAAUAACAACAUUGUUUUAAUCACUUCCGUUCUGUAAUCGUGCUUCAGAUUGUGUUUGCCUGAUUUUUGUCUACGUAAUGGUAACAAAACUGUAAUGUUAACAAAACGUAAAAAUGUUGUGACAAUGGAAAAGAAACUAGAAACAUUAGGUAGGAUUGAUAAAGGCGAAUUUUUAAAAUAAAUUUAUUGCAGCAUCAUAAUAUGAUAUUAUGAUACCAUAGGUCUGGAUCCCGCGUAUGAAAAAAAGUUCAUUAAUAGCAAGCUAAAAAUUUGUUAAUAGCUUAAGGGUGUCUAGUCGGAUAAACUUUGAUAUAUGAGAACACUGGAACAGGGGCAGUUUUAAUUGUGGAACAGGUAAAAAAUCUGGAACGGUCAGAACACGAAAAUGGCACAUUUGUUUUGUCCGACAGAACAGACAUAAACUCUCCGAACAGAGAUUAAACUCUCAUGCAAAAAUCAGACUGCUAUUUAUCACCUGUCAUAAUUCCUGUCAUUUGACAUAUUCUACAUGUUCCACUCAUUAAAACGCCAAUUUGGUGAUAAAUAGCAGUCUGAUUUUUGCAUGAGAGUUUAAUCUCUGUUCGGAGAGUUUAAGUCUGUUCUGUCGGACAAAAUACAUGUGCCGUUUUCGUGGUCUGACCGUUCCAAAUUUUUAGCCUGUUCCACAGUUAAAACUUCCCCUGUUCCAGUGUUCCCAUAUAUUAAUGUUUGUCCGACUAGACACCCUUAAGCUAAUAACAAAUUUUCAGCUUGCUAUUUAUCAACUUUUUUUUCGUACGCGGGAUCCAGACCUACCAUAUUAUGGUGUCGGUACAUCUCUACAGUAUGACUGAGUUUUUUACCAAGAAAUGAACAAAACUCUACACUCUAUACAACUAUACGUAAUUUAGAUGUGUACUGUGCAUAUGUGUUUCAUGUUUUUGUAAUUAUAAUGGAGGUUAUUUAUUAAUUUUUACUAUAUUCUCCGGCUAACCCGGAUUUUCGAUAACCCGGAUCGGCCGCGGUCCCGAUUAAUCCGGGUUAUCGAGGUUCCACUGUAUUUGUGGUAUAAAAUUGUGUGUAUAAAAUUUUAUGAGUUUGUAAGGUUUUACAGUUAAGUUUUGAAUCCAUCUUUUGAAUAUCUACUUCUUAUUGGAUUUGGUAAUAUCCCUCUCUCCUAUCUCACUAUACUUACACAAAGUGAAUCUCUUAAAAAAAUUUGAUAAAUGAGCUCUGAGCUUCAUUUACAAUUUCGUCUUUAAGCUAUUGCGCAUCUCUACCUCGCGUAACUCGAUUUAUGUUAGCCAGGUAGUAAUUCAAUUUAAAAUUUUAAAUCUUCCUGUAUAUAUAUUAUAUUAUUGAUUGUUUUAUAUUUAUAAUACAUAAUUUGUAAAUAAAUAUUUAUUGUAUCUA
rnacentral:misc_RNA from 1 species